GGGCGAUGGAUAGACCUUCUUCGGCCUUAGCAAGGUUCCCGAGGCUUACUCGGAGCUGCUCGCAUUCGUCCUUCAGCUCCUUGGUGAAGCUGCCCCGCUCGUGCCGAAGCCGGCGGACGGUCCGGGACUUCUUCUUCGCGUCGUCCCAGGCCGACUGCAGCUCCAACUCCGAUGUCGCCAACGCUCCCGUGAGUCGGGAGACCUUCUCCGUG
rnacentral:lncRNA from 1 species